rnacentral:rRNA from 1 species
GAUGAACGCUAGCGAUAGGCUUAACACAUGCAAGUCGAGGGGCAGCACAAGGUAGCUUGCUAUCUGGGUGGCGACCGGCGCACGGGCGCGUAACGCGUAUGCAACUUGCCCUAUACAGGAGGAUAACCCGUCGAAAGACGGACUAAUACUGCGUAUGCUCACAACUUGGCAUCAAGUGGUGAGGAAAGAAAUUCGGUAUAGGAUAGGCAUGCGUCCCAUUAGCUUGUUGGUGAGGUAACGGCUCACCAAGGCAACGAUGGGUAGGGGAACUGAGAGGUUUAUCCCCCACACUGGUACUGAGACACGGACCAGACUCCUACGGGAGGCAGCAGUGAGGAAUAUUGGUCAAUGGGCGCGAGCCUGAACCAGCCAAGUCGCGUGAAGGAUGACUGUCUUAUGGAUUGUAAACUUCUUUUAUACGGGAAUAACAAGAGUCACGUGUGACUCCCUGCAUGUACCGUAUGAAUAAGCAUCGGCUAACUCCGUG